GCUGGGAGCCAUAGACCUCGAAGCUGGGGCGUCUGACACCUGAGGCCCGAAGAUAGUGGCCGCAGUUGUAUUAUCUUGUGCAUUUGUCAAGAGAGGUCAUCCGAACGCUGAGAUAAAGGCUUGGGAUUCCAUUGUCUCAUCUCUUUCUGGGAGUGAUUUUCCUCUCAUCUGGAAGUGCAGAGACAGAGUCUUCAUAGGGAACUGAGAUUACCUCCAAAAAACAUUUGUGAAGUGAGCAAUUCCUAGAAGGCUGUUAAUGUUGAUUAAUGAAAUUAUACAAAAAGAAUCAUAAGAUAGCUGGAGAAGAAAAUUAUCUGUGAUGCCUGGAAAAGAUACGUCC
rnacentral:lncRNA from 1 species